rnacentral:tRNA from 1 species
UCCCUGGUGGCUAAGACUCUGCUCUCCCAAUGCAGCAGGCCAGGUUCAAUUCCUGGUCAGGGAA